CCUACGGGAGGCAGCAGUGGGGAAUUUUGGACAAUGGGCGCAAGCCUGAUCCAGCCAUGCCGCGUGUGGGAAGAAGGCCUUCGGGUUGUAAACCACUUUUGUCAGGGAAGAAACGGUUUGAUCUAAUACAUCGGACUAAUGACGGUACCUGAAGAAUAAGCACCGGCUAACUACGUGCCAGCAGCCGCGGUAAUACGUAGGGUGCAAGCGUUAAUCGGAAUUACUGGGCGUAAAGCGUGCGCAGGCGGCUUUGCAAGACAGAUGUGAAAUCCCCGGGCUCAACCUGGGAACUGCAUUUGUGACUGCAUGGCUAGAGUACGGUAGAGGGGGAUGGAAUUCCGCGUGUAGCAGUGAAAUGCGUAGAUAUGCGGAGGAACACCGAUGGCGAAGGCAAUCCCCUGGACCUGUACUGACGCUCAUGCACGAAAGCGUGGGGAGCAAACAGGAUUAGAUACCCUGGUAGUCCACGCCCUAAACGAUGUCACUGGUUGUGGACGCUUGCUGUCAGUACGAGCGUACGCGUGAAGUUGACCGCGUGGGGUAGUCGGCCGNGUAAGGUUGAAACGUAGAAAGGAGUUGGACGGCGNGAGACGAGCGACGGACGACGACGAGGGAGGAGG
rnacentral:rRNA from 1 species